AUGGAACCACCAGUGUGCACAGCUGAGCUGUAUUUUCUGGCCCUACCACCUCUAUGCCGGCCUGGGAGGGAAGUGAAGUCUGCUGCUGCUGCUGCUGCUAAGUCGAUUCAGUCGUGUCUGACUCUAUGCGACCUCAUAGACGGCAGCCCACCAGGUUCCCCCGUCCCUGGGAUUCUCCAGGCAAGAAUAAGAGCUUCAUUAUUACCAAUAAUCCCUGAGAACUACAAAAAUCCUGCUAUACUGCCACUAAGUUUUGCUGCAUGGCCAUUAAUUAACAGCCUUUUUAGGAAGGUGGAUGAUUCUAUGUCUGAACAGCCCCUCAUGUGAUGGGAGAGAAAAGGAACGGGAAGAGAUGGAAAUGAACAGAGAAGAGGUCUGCUGAGCUGGAAACCUGUAGACUUUUCUAAGUGACAAAGGGUGAGUGUGGCUUUAUGAAAGAGGAAACUUGGUACAUUAAUGCCAGCCUUGGGAAAAGCAACAGCCCCAGAUAAGAAGUGUGUAUGGGGCUUGGAAGCCGGGCAGCUCUGAUUUCUAGCUCGAGGGCCUUCCAGUUGUGUCUCUAAGCCUCGGUUUCCUUCUUCACCUGUAGAGUGGACUUAAUAAUUUUGAUCACCUGACAGUUGAUGUGGGAACGAAAGAAGCCCACACAGGAUAAGCAAUAUACAGAGAUUAAUGCAAGGUACCUGUCAUCAUGCUUACGAAGUUCAUGAUGCUUUGAAAGGUGUAAUUCAUUGCAGAGAUGCCGACUGGGGAGAGAGGGCCUGCCUUGCACCGGGCCUGUCCUCC
rnacentral:lncRNA from 1 species